AAGAAUAUACUUUCAGGGAUCAUUUCUAUAGUAGAUUACUAGAGAAGUGAGAUAGAAAGUGUUAAGAGACGAAAACCACGAUGAGGAGUUGGAGGGUUCUCUUCUGAGCGGGAAGGGGGACGGCAACGUUGCUUUUAUGCAGCUCUUGCUUUCUAUUGAUGAUCGUUUCUUCCUUCCUUUGGGAAAGGAGGAGGAAGAGAACUCAAGCUGAGUGGU